CGGGGUGUGGCGCAGUUCGGUAGCGCGCACCGUUCGGGACGGUGAGGCCGUCCGUUCAAAUCGGAUCACCCCGACCA
rnacentral:tRNA from 1 species